AGAGACCAAAGAAACAGGUCUAGUAAUUAGUCCAAAGUUAUUGUGUGGCAAUAGCUGGGUAAAGUGUCCAAGAGCAGGAAUUUAUUUUUGUUCAGGACUCUGUGAGAAACAAAGAAUGUAUGUGCUGAUCCAUGAUGAGAAAUAAAAAUUUAGGUAUCAGAUUUACAUCUGCACAAUAAGAUUUGAAGAGUUAUUUGUAGAUAAAAGUUACUUGUAGAUGUCCAGACUUUAUAAGUUUCAUGUGAUCAGCUUUGAAAUGCAACCAUCUAUCACUUUAUUUAUUGAUAUUCAGCAGAAAACAGUAUCCAAUCUAGGGUUUGUAUGUGCUUGUCGGUUAAGUUUCUGUGUUUUAUUGGUUAGACAGGAGAGUUUCAAAUCAAUGCAUCUAUUUCUUCUCCUUUUGGUUCUAGGGUAAUUAAUAUAUUGACUUAAGCAAAUUAUUUUUCUUUUCAAAUGCAAAAUAGAUGCAUUUC
rnacentral:lncRNA from 1 species